GGAGGCUGGCCAGGAGGGGCGGCGUGAAGCGCAUCUCGGGGCUCAUCUACGAGGAGACCCGCGGCGUGCUCAAGAUCUUCCUCGAGAACGUCAUCCGCGACGCCGUCACCUACACUGAGCACGCUCGCCGCAAGACCGUCACCGCCAUGGACGUCGUCUACGCGCUCAAGCGCCAGGGCCGCACCCUCUACGGCUUCGGCGGCUAGAUUCGUGUCGUGUGUCCGUGUGUUCUGUGGAAGACGGGUUUUACUACUGCUUUGGCGUGCGUCGUUGUGUUCCGUCUUGUGUUCAUUAGGCUGUAAUUCCUUGUUGCGGUCAAUGAAACUAGUUCUGUUCUGAAUCCUGACCUGAAGUGCAAUUGGUUUGACUUAGAUGAAAUGCAAUUGGAUGAACGAUUUAUCACUCGUUGCAAUCUGUACAGAUGCAGAAGUAUUGUUGGAGUGGUAAAAUGUGAAUCAAGACGCCAGAUGCAUAUUCCUGAAAUACUGACCAAGUGCUUCGCUGUGUUGAAUUCGGUUUUGGUUUUCUAAGGUUGGUUGGUUUGAUAUUAGAUUUCUCAUUUUAGAUCGUGUAUAGCUGAAGUGCAGUUGAUUUGUCUUAGCUGAACUGCAGUUGAUUGAAC
rnacentral:lncRNA from 1 species